rnacentral:lncRNA from 1 species
UCCCCGGCUGGUGUCCCAUGGCUUCAGCUUCCAUUUCCGCCCAUACAUGUGGAGGAUGAUGCCAGGCAGCAGGUUGAAGAAGAGCUUGGAGAGCCGUGGGCAGUUUAGGAAGAUGCUCCCAUGUGCCUGCCCUGCCUUCUUCCUGUCUGCCACCGCCGUGCACUUGUGGCACCUUUGAGAAGGUCACAUCAUCAGAGGAAGCACUGUCGGUCAUGGGCCAUCUGGAGGGCAGGGACUCCUAUGGCCUCACAGUUAUUGAGUUCCACGAACUUACACCUUUUUACAGCAGGUGCGGCAUUUCCGUGAGGGAGCUCCCCGUGGGCUACCCAAGGAAGCACUUUCUCUUUGAGUUUCUAACCCUUGCUGUUUUAGACCAUACCUAGCUAGCAGCCUUGAUUCUUUUCUUGAUCUCUGAUCCUUCUACAAGGUGGGUUCUGCCAGGAAUCCAGCCUAGAUCGACACAUGCGUGCCACCAAGGCCUGGCCUGUGACAGAGAUGAAUAUAUAUUCAGAGUCAGCCCUGGGCCAGGUGUACGUGUGCCCCUUCAGGUAAUCUCACAACGGUUCUGUGAAAAACAGCAAUAUUUUGUCUCCUUUUGCAGAUAAGAAAACUGAGGCUCCCAGAGGCAAAAUCACCUGUGCCAAGUCUCACCAGAGGAUUCUUUCCCUCGCUCGUUCUCUCUGUCACUCUGGUCCAUGAACUCCUGAAGCAACACUUUCGGAAAUGAUUCCUAGCCUGGAAUACCUUUUCCCCAGGGAUCCUUGUGAUCCUUCGCCUGAAAAUACAGUGCCGCGCCUCUUCCACGUCUAGGGUUUCAUCUUGCUGCGGGCCAACCUUGCUCUGCAGGGACAGCAACCUGCCGGGAGCAGAUCCUUGCUAUCUGCUGCCCACCCAGCACACCGGAGCCUCAGGAUUUCACUCGCACCUGGAUUCACUGCCCCCAGAGCCUGACAUCACUGUUAGACUCAGUCUCCCAGACCAGACAUGCCAGGACCCAUGGUCAUAAUAUCGCUACGCAAGCUACCAACUCCCACGUUUGGCCUGCCCAGAUGAGCCACUUCCUCCCAGCCCCUGUCGCUGUGGGUAAGUCUGCCUCUGGGUCACGUAUCCCGCUAGCCUUCCUUGUCUUUCUGUGGUUGGUCGAGGCAGGGAAGAUCCUGUGACAAAAUGUGAAAAAAGUAGAACUACAAAGGGAAACUAGCUCUACCAUACAUUAACUUAUACUGUAAAGCCUCUGUAACAAAGAGAGUUUGGUACUGGCUC